GAUCCCGGCACUACAGUCCCGGCGCAACCACCCGCACUCAGAUUCUCCCCAAACGCCAAGGAUGGGGGUCAUGGCUCCCCGAACCCUCCUCCUGCUGCUCUUGGGGGCCCUGGCCCUGACCGAGACCUGGGCCGGUGAGUGCGGGGUCGGGAGGGAAAGGGCCUCUGCGGGGAGAAGCGAGUGGCCCGCCCGGCCCGGGGAGCCGCGCCGGGAGGAGGGUCGGGCGGGUCUCAGCCUCUCCUCGCCUCCAGGCUCCCACUCCUUGAGGUAUUUCAGCACCGCAGUGUCCCAGCCCGGCCGCGGGGAGCCCCGGUUCAUCGCCGUGGGCUACGUGGACGACACAGAGUUCGUGCGGUUCGACAGCGACUCCGUGAGUCCGAGGAUGGAGCGGCGGGCGCCGUGGGUGGAGCAGGAGGGGCUGGAGUAUUGGGACCAGGAGACACGGAACGCCAAGGGCCACGCGCAGAUUUACCGAGUGAACCUGCGGACCCUGCUCCGCUAUUACAACCAGAGCGAGGCCGGUAUGAACAGUUCGCCUACGAUGGCAAGGAUUACAUCGCCCUGAACGAGGACCUGCACUCCUGGACCGCCGCGAACACAGCGGCUCAGAUCUCCCAGCACAAGUGGGAAGCGGACAAAUACUCAGAGCAGGUCAGGGCCUACCUGAGGGCAAGUGCAUGGAGUGGCUCCGCAGACACCUGGAGAACGGGAAGGAGACGCUGCAGCACGCGGAUCCCCCAAAGGCACAUGUGACCCAGCACCCCAUCUCUGACCAUGAGGCCACCCUGAGGUGCUGGGCCCUGGGCCUCUACCCUGCGGAGAUCACACUGACCUGGCAGCAGGAUGGGGAGGACCAGACCCAGGACACGGAGCUUGUGGAGACCAGGCCUGCAGGGGACGGAACCUUCCAGAAGUGGGUGGCUGUAGUGGUGCCUUCCGGAGAGGAGCAGAGAUACAUGUGCCAUGUGCAGCAUGAGGGGCUGCCAGAGCCCCUCACCCUGAGAUGGGAGCCGUCUUCUCAGCCCACCAUCCCCAUCGUGGGCAUCGUUGCUGGCCUGUUUCUCCUUGGAGCUGUGGUCACUGGAGCUGUGGUUGCUGCUGCGAUGUGGAGGAAGAAAAGCUCAGGCAGCAAUUGUGCUCAGUACUCUGAUGCAUCUCAUGAUACUUGUAAAGAGUUCUCACCACCUCCUCCCAGGCUAAAUCCUUCAUGUUGCAGGAGACAGAGAAUCCCAGGUGAGACCCGGACUUUUUCUCCUCCCUCCCUUCCUUUUUUCACCGUGUUCAGGAUAAAUUAUCUUGGUUUUGUUUCUGGAGGGAAAAGGGCAGAGAGGCCCUGACUUGAAUCUCAAUCACAUUUCUGCACACAGUACCUGAGGAGACAGAAUAGCAGAGGGGUGGGAACAAUUAACAUUGCUUUAUGGGCUUUAGAAUGGAGAAAAAAUAAUUCCCACUCUUUUUUCUUUUACCCAAAUCCAACUUCAGUUUUCUCUCCAACUCUCUAAAACCACCACCAAUACUAUUAUCACAUCAUGUGUAGCUACUUGGGGGGUGGUGAAAGGCUGAGUACGCAUCAUGUUCAGGUAGUAGGGUGUUAAACGAAAUAGUUCCUCACAGCAAUGCCCAAAGUCAUCCUUGGUCACAAUAAAGGAGAAUAAAGGGAAAAAAGUAUGAUUAUUGUAUUAGAUUGUGGGGUUGCAGGUGAGUUUUUUUUUUCCAUUUUAAAAAUUAUUUUGUGGUUAUAAUGAUGAUGUCAAUUUUUAAAAAAAUAAAAGAAUGGAAAAAGUU
ensembl:lncRNA HLA-L major histocompatibility complex, class I, L (pseudogene)